UACGAAGGGGGCUAGCGUUGCUCGGAAUCACUGGGCGUAAAGGGUGCGUAGGCGGGUCUUUUAAGUCAGGGGUGAAGUCCUGGAGCUCAACUCCGGAACUGCCAUUGAAACUGUUUAGCUUGAGGACGAGAGAGGUGAGUGGAAUUCCCAGUGUAGAGGUGAAAUUCGUAGAUAUUGGGAAGAACACCGGUGGCGAAGGCGGCUCACUGGCUCGUAUCUGACGCUCAGGCGCGACAGCGUGGGGAUCAAACAGG
rnacentral:rRNA from 1 species